UCAGCCGAUGUUUUGUUUUCCAGUACAGGACUUAGUGCCAUGGAUACCAUCUUUGCUACCGUGGCUUGCUGCCUCCUGGCUGUUUCUUUUGCUGAGGCACACGCAGAAAAAAUGAAUUUGACUAUCACGCCAACCACCCCUGGCUUAAACUUGAAUCACACAACUACACUUGUUACAUCAUCUAACACCACUGUACAUGCAACUGUUAUCUCAAACAUAAGUGAGGACACAACUUCAUUUACCAGCACAACCUGGGACAAUGAAACAUUCAAUGAAACCACAAGUCACCCGCAGACUUAUCAGUCAACAACCAUCUUGAAUCCUCUAACAAAUAGUAAUUUACUGACAACUACCACACCUGGCACUCACACUUUCUCAUUUACAGCUGUGACAAUGCCAGUAAUCCAGUCCACAGCAGGUUACAUAAGUACACCGGAUACUUCAGUAAUUACAACUGCAAAUUCAUCUAACACUAUCAAUACAACUUCAGAUUCAGUGGACAGAAUCACACAAGGUUUUGGACUGGACAUUUCAGAAAAGAACAUGACCAUUGUCUAGAGUGUUGCACUAGGAGUGUUUGGUGUGGCAUUGGUUAUAUUUAUGUUUCAUAGAUGCAAACAGAAAAUCCAAUACUUGCAUCAGCCUCUUAACAACACUGAUGACACAGAUGCAUUCGUGGCAGAUGAUGAUACCCUCAUAAUUUCUGGAGGACUUUAUGAUGGCCAUCCGAUCUACGAUAAUGUACCUACAGCCCCAGAAGACCAAUCUCAAUUUCGCCUUGAAUUCCUUCACUGAGGAGAGACAGUUAACUACAGUUUG